UUUAUGGAGAGUUUGAUCCUGGCUCAGGACGAACGCUGGCGGCGUGCCUAAUACAUGCAAGUCGAGCGAACAGAAAAGGAGCUUGCUCCUUUGACGUUAGCGGCGGACGGGUGAGUAACACGUGGGCAACCUACCUUAUAGUUUGGGAUAAC
rnacentral:rRNA from 1 species